ACCAAGUUAUAUUGUUUAAAUUUCCCAAGACAAUAGUAGCAAAAGGGACAUGGUAAAGUACUUAAGUCGAGUCCAGCUUAUAGAAUCAUGCAGUUAGUGAGAUUAUACCCUAGAUCUUCCACAAUUCAGCUCAACGCCACACGUUGUAGAUCUUUCCUUUCAACCUUGGUCCGCCCCUCGUAUUUCUCCACCAAUAUUCAGAGACAACGAACCAUAUACAUUCUAGAAAGCGACCACAACUCAAGUUAAAACAAAUGGAGUCGACUUUUGUGGACAUGGCUACAAGAGCAAAUCUCAUCUAACCAGUCCUCUAGACCAAGCAAUGAUGGAUGGAGUCUGGGCCCAAGGUACCAUCAAGUUCAAUUGCGACCCCGCAGGAAAGUCCCCAUCAAGA
rnacentral:lncRNA from 1 species